rnacentral:rRNA from 1 species
UACAGGGGGGUGCAAACGUUGCUCGGAAUCAUUGGGCGUAAAGCGCACGUAGGCGGUUCGUUAUGUCGGAUGUGAAAGCCCUUGGCUUAACCGAGGAAGUGCAUCCGAAACUGGCGAGCUAGAGUACGAAAAGAGGAUCGCGGAAUUCCCGGUGUAGAGGUGAAAUUCGUAGAUAUCGGGAGGAACACCGGUGGCGAAGGCGGCGAUCUGGGUCGAUACUGACGCUGAGGUGCGAAAGCGUGGGGAGCAAACAGG